UACGUAGGGGGCUAGCGUUGUCCGGAAUCAUUGGGCGUAAAGCGCGUGUAGGCGGUCCGGUAAGUCCGCUGUGAAAGUCGAGGGCUCAACCUCGAAUGCCGGUGGAUACUGUCGGGCUUGAGUACGGGAGAGGCGAGUGGAAUUCCUGGUGUAGCGGUGAAAUGCGCAGAUAUCAGGAGGAACACCGAUGGCGAAGGCAGGUCUCUGGGCCACUACUGACGCUGAGAAGCGAAAGCAUGGGGAGCGAACAGG
rnacentral:rRNA from 1 species